UGCAAACUGCGAAUACCGGAGAAUGUUAUCACGGGAGACACACGGCGGGUGCUAACGUCCGUCGUGAAGAGGGAAACAACCCAGACCGCCAGCUAAGGUCCCAAAGUCAUGGUUAAGUGGGAAACGAUGUGGGAAGGCCCAGACAGCCAGGAUGUUGGCUUAGAAGCAGCCAUCAUUUAAAGAAAGCGUAAUAGCUCACUGGUCGAGUCGGCCUGCGCGGAAGAUGUAACGGGGCUAAACCAUGCACCGAAGCUGCGGCAGCGACGCUUAUGCGUUGUUGGGUAGGGGAGCGUUCUGUAAGCCUGCGAAGGUGUGCUGUGAGGCAUGCUGGAGGUAUCAGAAGUGCGAAUGCUGACAUAAGUAACGAUAAAGCGGGUGAAAAGCCCGCUCGCCGGAAGACCAAGGGUUCCUGUCCAACGUUAAUCGGGGCAGGGUGAGUCGACCCCUAAGGCGAGGCCGAAAGGCGUAGUCGAUGGGAAACAGGUUAAUAUUCCUGUACUUGGUGUUACUGCGAAGGGGGGACGGAGAAGGCUAUGUUGGCCGGGCGACGGUUGUCCCGGUUUAAGCGUGUAGGCUGGUUUUCCAGGCAAAUCCGGAAAAUCAAGGCUGAGGCGUGAUGACGAGGCACUACGGUGCUGAAGCAACAAAUGCCCUGCUUCCAGGAAAAGCCUCUAAGCAUCAGGUAACAUCAAAUCGUACCCCAAACCGACACAGGUGGUCAGGUAGAGAAUACCAAGGCGCUUGAGAGAACUCGGGUGAAGGAACUAGGCAAAAUGGUGCCGUAACUUCGGGAGAAGGCACGC
rnacentral:rRNA from 1 species